AGUUUGAUCCUGGCUCAGAUUGAACGCUGGCGGCAGGCCUAACACAUGCAAGUCGAGCGGUAGAGAGAAGCUUGCUUCUCUUGAGAGCGGCGGACGGGUGAGUAAUACCUAGGAAUCUGCCUGAUAGUGGGGGAUAACGUUCGGAAACGGACGCUAAUACCGCAUACGUCCUACGGGAGAAAGCAGGGGACCUUCGGGCCUUGCGCUAUCAGAUGAGCCUAGGUCGGAUUAGCUAGUUGGUGAGGUAAUGGCUCACCAAGGCUACGAUCCGUAACUGGUCUGAGAGGAUGAUCAGUCACACUGGAACUGAGACACGGUCCAGACUCCUACGGGAGGCAGCAGUGGGGAAUAUUGGACAAUGGGCGAAAGCCUGAUCCAGCCAUGCCGCGUGUGUGAAGAAGGUCUUCGGAUUGUAAAGCACUUUAAGUUGGGAGGAAGGGCAUUAACCUAAUACGUUAGUGUUUUGACGUUACCGACAGAAUAAGCACCGGCUAACUCUGUGCCAGCAGCCGCGGUAAUACAGAGGGUGCAAGCGUUAAUCGGAAUUACUGGGCGUAAAGCGCGCGUAGGUGGUUUGUUAAGUUGAAUGUGAAAUCCCCGGGCUCAACCUGGGAACUGCAUCCAAAACUGGCAAGCUAGAGUAUGGUAGAGGGUAGUGGAAUUUCCUGUGUAGCGGUGAAAUGCGUAGAUAUAGGAAGGAACACCAGUGGCGAAGGCGACUACCUGGACUGAUACUGACACUGAGGUGCGAAAGCGUGGGGAGCAAACAGGAUUAGAUACCCUGGUAGUCC
rnacentral:rRNA from 2 species